rnacentral:rRNA from 1 species
AUGCAGUCGAACGGCAGCGGGGGAAAGCUUGUUUUCCUGCCGGCGAGUGGCGAACGGGUGAGUAAUACAUCGGAACGUGCCCUGUAGUGGGGGAUAACUAGUCGAAAGAUUAGCUAAUACCGCAUACGACCUGAGGGUGAAAGUGGGGGACCGCAAGGCCUCAUGCUAUAGGAGCGGCCGAUGUCUGAUUAGCUAGUUGGUGGGGUAAAGGCCUACCAAGGCGACGAUCAGUAGCUGGUCUGAGAGGACGAUCAGCCACACUGGGACUGAGACACGGCCCAGACUCCUACGGGAGGCAGCAGUGGGGAAUUUUGGACAAUGGGCGAAAGCCUGAUCCAGCAAUGCCGCGUGUGUGAAGAAGGCCUUCGGGUUGUAAAGCACUUUUGUCCGGAAAGAAAUGGCUCUGGUUAAUACCCGGAGUUGAUGACGGUACCGGAAGAAUAAGGACCGGCUAACUACGUGCCAGC